UACAGAGGUCUCAAGCGUUGUUCGGAUUCAUUGGGCGUAAAGGGUGCGUAGGCGGCAAGGCAAGUCAGGUGUGAAAUCCCGGAGCUCAACUCCGGAACUGCACUUGAUACUGCUCUGCUAGAGUACUGGAGAGGAGACUGGAAUUUACGGUGUAGCAGUGAAAUGCGUAGAUAUCGUAAGGAAGACCAGUGGCGAAGGCGAGUCUCUGGACAGUUACUGACGCUGAGGCACGAAGGCCAGGGGAGCAAACGGG
rnacentral:rRNA from 1 species